rnacentral:lncRNA from 1 species
CCAACCAACUACCCUAUACCUGUCAAAUUUCCUUUCCACCCACUCCCUAUAAUCCUCAAAGGUCUACACUUUAUAGCUUUUGAGUAAAGCUUGUCUGCCAUGUUCUUCUGCCAAAAGACUAUAGUGCAGCCCAAUUUUCAUUACUUCUCAAUUCACGAAGUUCUCUCUUCCAAAAGAAAGGGGAACGAACUAGAAUUUCAGAGCCUUAAACAGCUGCACAUUUUCGGACCACACAAACCCAGAUUCAGUGAGCUCCUCCUCAACACAAUUAUCACAAGGUUUCAUUCUCUUCAAAUUAUAAUACUUUGCAGUAUUGGGUAAAGCAUCUCCAUUUAUUUUCACAAACACACAAAUCUCAGCAACGAAAACAUUUAGCCUCUUGCAUCCAAGAAAUCACACACACCAAAGCAUAAUCAUUCUAUUUUCUGUAAUACUCCACACUUUUACUGUUUUUACAUGAAAGCAUGAUUCAUUGAAAAGAAAAGAGAAAAGAUUUCAUUUUGAAGCUUUGAAAUUUUUGUCUCCUGUCCUUGUGUGAUGAGUCGAGAGGGAGGUGAGUUUCAGCCCGGUGGCUGCUCGACGCCGGCGACGCCACGGCGGCAAAGGCACCGCCUUUUUCCUCUUCCUGCCAACGAGAGAGAGAGAGAGAGGAGGAAUUAGAUUUUCAGAUUCUGUAUUUUGAGAGGAAGAGAAGGGAGAUUUGGGGGUUUACCUGUGUGGGGCGGUGGCUGGUCGGAGCUGGUCUGAGCGGAGGGAGACAGGGGCGGCGUUGUCGUCGUCUGCCGGAGACAGAGAGGUGAGGCGUCGGAGUCGGCGGACGGUGGUGGUUAGCUCCCGCUGCUACGGCCGUCGGAUCUGUGAACAAGCGAGAGAUUUGAGAGAGAAACGAUGGAGGUGGAGGGGUCAGUGGCGGUCCUCGCUGCUGUCGACCUGAAUCGAGAGGGAGGAGGUGCCGCUGUGCUCGGCCACUGUCAGAGAGAGAGAGAGAGGGAAGUGAUGGGCGUCCGUUUUAGCGCGAGAGAAGGGAGAGCAGUUGAGGGAGAGGAGAGUCGGAGCGGCGCUCGUCGCCGGGAGUGGUGGCACGCGGCCGGAGGAAUUCUGAGAGAGGGAGAGAGGCGAGCAGCGUGAUAUGAGAAAAGGGGAGGAGGUGCGUGACUGAUAUGAGAAAGGGGGGGAGGAGAUAUGGGCUUGAGUUGGGCUAGGGCUUAGUUUGAGGGUGGGCUUGCGAAUUGGGCCGAUUUUAAUUGAGAGAUGGGCCAAUGUUUAUUAAUUCCUUGGGCCCUAAAUUUAUAUCAAUUGGGUCAGUUUUAUUUUAAACUUUGGGCUGCCUUGAUUAAUUAAAUUAAUUGAGCUGCUCUAUUUUAAUUAAUUGAACUAUUAAUUAGUUUAAUUAAUUUAUUCAAAGACUAGUUUUCAUAAUAAUAUUUUAUUAUUAUUAGUAAGUGCAU